rnacentral:lncRNA from 1 species
AUGGACCCGCCUCAUCAUGAUGUCCUUGGCUGGCAAUCUUCAGACUACUGGCUGACCCUGGUUACCAUUACCAGACCUGCUCUCCUCUUCUUGUUCGGGUACUGUGGCACUGUGCCCUGUUGCCUCGCCUACAGUGUUGCUGGCACACGAGUAGCCAAGGACAAAGAAUGGAUGAAACUGCCUCUUUGAGGAGCACCUUGAACUUACUGUGGAUUAAAAUGAGUGGCUCCACAGUACGCAGUCUUUUCUGGUGCCCCUCGAAUGACUCUUCUUCUCUCUUCCAAAUUCCACGCUGUCACGAAACAGAAUACUACUAAGUAGAUUUAAAAGAGCUAUCACCUUGAAAAUAAUGUUUUUUUUUCCUCUAGACCAAAUGGGAAAGGAAAGAGGGAGGGACAAGAAGCAAAAGUUCACACUGGCCUGAAUUGUUUCUUUAGAGGAUUGCUUCUUUUAAAACUCAUUGCAUUGGAAUUUUCUGAAUGUAAAUCACAUGAAUUGUUUCAAUUUGUUUCAGGUUUUAAUCAAAGCUCAUUUUACCCUACAAACAAAUACACUGAAUCCAAGUUUGAGAAGAUAGAUUAUUCUUUUAAAGACUUAUUUAUUUUACUUUUAAAAAUUCAGUUCAUCUCUAGAAUGGCUUCUGUACAUGAUUUUGUUUGUUUUUCUGCUAUUAUUCUGCUGUGGGUAAUGUAAAAUGCAUUUCUAUCAGACUUAUUUUUGUCAUGGGUUUUGCUUUUCAGAGGUUCAGCAUUUUAAAUUAUAUCUGAAGAUACCAGUUUUUAAAUCUGUUACGUUCAUCCAUAUCUGUUCUGCAUUCCAUUGAGAAAAGCCAAGAGCACUGGGUGCCUGAACACUUUAGGAAUACUACAGAUGUUUGCUAUAUGGAUCUUUCAGACAAAUGUUAGCAUUUUGAUCAUGUCUCAGUAAAUAGGGAUGUCACCUGGAGGAGGUGUUUCUUAAGGGGCAAGUCCCAAGGAGGAAAAACAGAUGGGCA